rnacentral:piRNA from 1 species
UGACAUUCACUUGAUUGGCAAAAGGGAC